rnacentral:rRNA from 1 species
CACGAACCGUACGAACGUUAUUCGGAAUUACUGGGCUUAAAGGGUUUGUAGGCGGCCAUGUAAGUCAGGUGUGAAAUCCCUCGGCCCAACUGAGGAACUGCGCUCGAGACUGCUUCUCUUGAGUCCCGGAGAGGAAGAUGGAAUUCCCGGUGUAGCGGUGAAAUGUGUAGAGAUCGGGAGGAACACCGGUGGCGAAGGCGGUCUUCUGGACGGUGACUGACGCUGAGGCGCGAAAGCGUGGGGAGCAAACGGG